UACGUAGGGUGCGAGCGUUGUCCGGAAUUACUGGGCGUAAAGAGCUCGUAGGUGGUUUGUCGCGUUGUUCGUGAAAACCGGGGGCUUAACCCUCGGCGUGCGGGCGAUACGGGCAGACUUGAGUACUGCAGGGGAGACUGGAAUUCCUGGUGUAGCGGUGAAAUGCGCAGAUAUCAGGAGGAACACCGGUGGCGAAGGCGGGUCUCUGGGCAACAACUGACGCUGAGGAGCGAAAGCGUGGGGAGCGAACAGG
rnacentral:rRNA from 1 species